ensembl:miRNA Mir3470b microRNA 3470b
GGAUUCUCUGUGUAGCCUUGGCUGUCCUGGCACUCACUCUGUAGACCAGGCUGGCCUUGAACUCAAAAAUUCACCUGCCUCUGCCUCCCGAGUGCUGGGACUAAAGGCAUGCGCUACCAAUGCCCG